UACGUAUGGUGCAAGCGUUAUCCGGAUUUACUGGGUGUAAAGGGAGCGUAGGCGGCGCGUUAAGUCUGAUGUGAAAACCCGAGACUCAACCACGGGAGUGCAUUGGAAACUGGCGGGCUGGAGUGCCGGAGAGGUAAGCGGAAUUCCUAGUGUAGCGGUGAAAUGCGUAGAUAUUAGGAGGAACACCAGUGGCGAAGGCGGCUUACUGGACGGCAACUGACGCUGAGGCUCGAAAGCGUGGGGAGCAAACAGG
rnacentral:rRNA from 1 species